ACAACAGUUGGAAACGACUGCUAAUACCGCAUAAGCCCACGACCCGGCAUCGGGAAGAGGGAAAAGGAGCAAUCCGCUUUGAGAUGGCCUCGCGUCCGAUUAGCUAGUUGGUGAGGUAACGGCCCACCAAGGCGACGAUCGGUAGCCGGACUGAGAGGUUGAACGGCCACAUUGGGACUGAGACACGGCCCAGACUCCUACGGGAGGCAGCAGUGGGGAAUAUUGCACAAUGGGGGAAACCCUGAUGCAGCGACGCCGCGUGGAGGAAGAAGGUCUUCGGAUUGUAAACUCCUGUUGUUGAGGAAGAUAAUGACGGUACUCAACAAGGAAGUGACGGCUAACUACGUGCCAGCAGCCGCGGUAAAACGUAGGUCACAAGCGUUGUCCGGAAUUACUGGGUGUAAAGGGAGCGCAGGCGGGCGAUCAAGUUGGAAGUGAAAUCCAUGGGCUCAACCCAUGAACUGCUUUCAAAACUGGUCGUCUUGAGUAGUGCAGAGGUAGGCGGAAUUCCCGGUGUAGCGGUGGAAUGCGUAGAUAUCGGGAGGAACACCAGUGGCGAAGGCGGCCUACUGGGCACCAACUGACGCUGAGGCUCGAAAGUGUGGGUAGCAGACAGGAUUAGAUACCCUGGUAGUCCACACCGUAAGCGAUGAUUACUAGGUGUUGGGAGAUUGACCCUCUCAGUGCCG
rnacentral:rRNA from 1 species